rnacentral:rRNA from 1 species
UACGGAGGGUGCAAGCGUUAUCCGGAUUUACUGGGUUUAAAGGGUGCGUAGGUGGCCUGUUAAGUCAGGGGUGAAAGACGGUAGCUUAACUAUCGCAGUGCCCUUGAUACUGAUGGGCUUGAAUGAACUAGAGGUAGGCGGAAUGUGACAAGUAGCGGUGAAAUGCAUAGAUAUGUCACAGAACACCAAUUGCGAAGGCAGCUUACUAUGGUUUUAUUGACACUGAGGCACGAAAAGCGUGGGGGAGUCAAAACAGGA